CUCCGGCCCCCUGCCUUCCUCCAGCAGCCGCCGUGCGCUGGGCGAGCGUUUUGUAAUAGGCGCUGUUGCAUCAGUCUAAUUGCAACAUCAUUCCCAAUGCUCUAGCUGGCUAUGGCCAUCACACUGGGAAAACACAAAUCCUGAGGCUGAAGAAAUGCAGCUGAAAUUCUGACCUCAAGCCAUUCUGAUAUUUUGUGCACACACAUUAUUGGAGCUGACAGCAUCAAAAAAUGCCCUGCUUCUUAUACCCCAAAUCAUACUAUGCGAUAUGAACAUCCAGACUAAAAUCCAUCUGUAAAGGCAAGCACUGAC